UACAGAGGGGGCAAGCGUUGUUCGGAAUUACUGGGCGUAAAGGGCGCGUAGGCGGCCUGCUAAGUCGAACGUGAAAUCCCUGGGCUCAACCCAGGAACUGCGUCCGAUACUGGUUGGCUUGAAUCCGGGAGAGGGACGUGGAAUUCCAGGUGUAGCGGUGAAAUGCGUAGAUAUCGGAAGGAACAUCAGUGGCGAAAGCGACUUCCUGGACCAAUACUGACGCUCAUGUGCGAAAGCGUGGGGAGCAAACAGG
rnacentral:rRNA from 1 species